rnacentral:rRNA from 1 species
ACCCUAACAGCUAGCCCACCCAAAAACUUAACAACCCCCCAUUAAUAACCCUAAACGCAGAAAACUGCACCCAACAAAUCAUUUUUCCCCCCUAGUAUGGGAGACAGAAAAGGAAACACAGGCGCUAUAGAGAAAGUACCGCAAGGGAAAGCUGAAAGAGAGAUUAAAGAGCCCAGUUAAGGACUAAAAAGCAGAGAUUUAACCUCGUACCUUUUGCAUCAUGACUUAGCAAGUAUAUUCAAGCGAAGAGAUCUGUACGUUUGAACCCCCGAAUCUGGGCGAGCUACUCCAAGACAGCCUAUUAUAGGGCCAACCCGUCUCUGUGGCAAAAGAGUGGGAAGAGCUUUGAGUAGAGGUGAUAAACCUACCGAGCCCAGUAAUAGCUGGUUGCCUGAAAAUUGAAUAGAAGUUCAACCUUUUAAAUUUUUCCACCCACCAUGGCCCAACCACUACCCGGCAAGAAGAACUUUAAAAGAGCUAUUCAGGGGAGGAACAGCUCCCCUGACAAAGACACAACUUUUACAGGAGGUCAAAGACUAUAUUUAAUAAGGCAUAGUACCCAAGUGGGCCUAGAAGCAGCCACCUUAAUAGAAAGCGUUAAGGCUUAAGACUAAGCCCCUCCCCUAAUACCAGAAACACCCUCUUUUACCCCUAAACCUAUCAGGCCCCUCCAUGCCACCAUGGGGAAGACACUGCUAAUAUGAGUAAUAAGAAGGGCCCCGCCCCUUCUCCCUGCCCCUGUGUAACCGGAACAAACCCUAACCGAAAAUUAACGCCCCCAAACUAGAGGGACUUGAGAAAAAUAACAUAAACUAGAAAACCCCUCAAUCUAUAGCUGUUAGCCCCACACAGGUGGGCCAAAGGAAAGACUAAAAGAAAAAGAAGGAACUCGGCAAGCACUAGCCUCGCCUGUUUACCAAAAACAUCACCUCUUGCAAACCCAGUAUAAGAGGCCCCGCCUGCCCGGUGACAAAGUUUAACGGCCGCGGUAUUUUGACCGUGCGAAGGUAGCGUAAUCACUUGUCUUUUAAAUGGAGACCUGUAUGAAUGGCAUAACGAGGGCUAAACUGUCUCCUUUUUCCAGUCAAUGAAAUUGAUCUGCCCGUGCAGAAGCGGGUAUAUAAACAUAAGACGAGAAGACCCUAUGAAGCUUAAGACCUCAGGCAGACUAAGUCAAAUACCUUCAAUAAUGAAGACUAAACUAAGUAGAACCUGCCCCAAUGUCUUUGGUUGGGGCGACCACGGAGAAACAAAAAACCCCCGCGAGGAAUGGACCCUCCCCAAAGCUAGAGUUACAACUCUGACUAGCAGAAAUUCUGACCCCUAAGACCCGGCAACGCCGAUCAACGGACCAAGUUACUCUAGGGAUAACAGCGCAAUCCCCUUUUAGAGCCCAUAUCGACAAGGGGGUUUACGACCUCGAUGUUGGAUCAGGACUUCCUAAUGGUGCAGCCGCUAUUAAGGGUUCGUUUGUUCAACGAUUAAAGUCCU